GUCGAGGGGCAGCAUCAUCAAAGCUUGCUUUGAUGGAUGGCGACCGGCGCACGGGUGAGUAACACGUAUCCAACCUGCCGACAACACUGGGAUAGCCUUUCGAAAGAAAGAUUAAUACCGGAUGGCAUAGUUUUCCCGCAUGGGAUAAUUAUUAAAGAAUUUCGGUUGUCGAUGGGGAUGCGUUCCAUUAGGCAGUUGGCGGGGUAACGGCCCACCAAACCUACGAUGGAUAGGGGUUCUGAGAGGAAGGUCCCCCACAUUGGAACUGAGACACGGUCCAAACUCCUACGGGAGGCAGCAGUGAGGAAUAUUGGUCAAUGGACGAGAGUCUGAACCAGCCAAGUAGCGUGAAGGAUGACUGCCCUAUGGGUUGUAAACUUCUUUUAUACGGGAAUAAAGUGAGCCACGUGUGGCUUUUUGUAUGUACCGUAUGAAUAAGGAUCGGCUAACUCCGUGCCAGCAGCCGCGGUAAUACGGAGGAUUCGAGCGUUAUCCGGAUUUAUUGGGUUUAAAGGGAGCGUAGGCGGGUUGUUAAGUCAGUUGUGAAAGUUUGCGGCUCAACCGUAAAAUUGCAGUUGAUACUGGCGACCUUGAGUGCAACAGAGGUAGGCGGAAUCCGUGGUGUAGCGGUGAAAUGCUUAGAUAUCACGAAGAACUCCGAUUGCGAAGGCAGCUUACUGGAUUGUAACUGACGC
rnacentral:rRNA from 1 species